rnacentral:lncRNA from 10 species
GGAGAGGAGGGAGGCUAGUUCCCUGGUGGGGUAGCCUGGCAACAUUCCCAUUCCACCGCACCUGGCCAGCUGCCAUCUUGGCAGAGCCAGGGGGAGAUGCACCAGGGAGUUUGGAGUCAGGAAGGCAGAGUUGUGUGGGCUGAAGUCUGCGGGAACCCCAGGGUGACACAGGCAAGGGGUAGAAGUCAGAGUGGGGACCAAACCAUAGACUGGGGCCCUGGGUUCUGCAGAGGUGUGGAUGGGGCAGGUGGCAGGUGCUCCAGUGGGGGCCCCAGGUGAGGCCCUGAUGGCCCUCCUGGGGCAAUAAAGACAUCAUGGGAAGGGGGCUUUGUGGUUUGCCUCUGCUCUCGUCGGGCGAUCUGGCUUUAGCCUUCAGGAGGAGGUAAGCAGAGGAGAUCAGUGCCUGUUUCUGACCCCAGGAGGGCCUUGUUGGGCUCCAACCUAGAGCCUUCCGGCUUCAGGUCCCAAGAGAAGUCCCCCCCUAACUGUGACCCCCCUAACUGUGAUCAGGGGUCUGCCAUUGCCCGCUUUUCUCUGCCUGAUCUGGGGACUCAGGAGAGGCCACGGCAGCCACAGCCUAGGGGUGGUUCAGUCCCUGGCCCACAGUCUGGUCAGUUGAGUCCUUCUGGGAACCGGGGCUAUGAAAACUUUCGUCUUUGGGGACCGGUACCCAUGAAGGAAAACUUUCCUGAGGGGGUGAGGACCAAAGAAUCAAGAUCCUUUUCAGGCCUGAUAGCCAAGAUGAUGAGAACUUUUAGAUAAGGCUGUGGGGAGAGUCCCUGGCCUUUUGAGCAUCCUGCUUGGGCACACGGGGAAUAACCUUUCUCCAGCUUCCAGUGUGAACUGAGAAAGAGAAAGGGAAACCCUGUCUUUGGAGAAGCUGGGAUGUUCCCAGCACCAGAAACUUCUGCAGGCCCCUGCCUGGCCCACGGCUAACCUUUGGGUGGGACUGGAGUUUCCUGAACAGGGAACAAGGGAGCCUUCCGCAGAGCUCUGAUGGGCAGGCCUCCGAGGGCCUGUGCUGUGUGCUGUUAGGAUAGCUUGGUGUUGUCUAUACCCCAUUAGUAAGUUUUGUCUGAGUGUGUCCUCGCUGUUCAUUGUCUAAUUUGGUAACAUUUAUUUUGGUCCUGACCCCUUCUGCUGCUGCUGGGUUUAAGCUUCAGUGCAGGUGGAAUGACAUUCAAAUAAAGAAACACUUUCUAUCACCCAAAAAAAAAAAAAAAA